AUAACUCCGGUUCCCGUACGAUCACCAAAGUAAAGCAACAUCGGACCUGGUCAGUACCUAGGUGGGUAACGGCUUGAGAAUACCAGAUGCUGUCA